rnacentral:lncRNA from 1 species
UUAUUUAUUAGCUUCAUUGAAAAUCUCUCUCUCUCUCUCUCUCUCUCUCUCUCUCACACACACACACGCGCGCGCACGCGCGCACGUGUGUGUGUGCGUGUAUUAACAAUAACUCAUUUAUGGAUUCCUGGGUGCCUCUGCAUAUUUUUUCAUUCUAACGAGUUCAUUUCACUAAUUCGAUUUCUAUGUUCUUCAAUUAACUAAAAGAAGUGGGUAAUCUGCUAUGUUCAGGUAAACUAGCGGAGUAUGAUGAGCCAAUGAAGUUAAUGAAGAGGGAAGGUUCACUCUUCGGGCAGCUAGUAAGGGAAUACUGGUCGCAUUUGCACUCUGCAGAAUCACAUUGAGGCUACCGAUUAUUUCUUUUGUACUUCUUUAAUAUCUCUUUGCUGUUAAUUUUCUAUUGCUUUAACAGCAAAGAGAAAUUAAAAGUGUAAGUAGAUGUAUAGUAUCCCUUUAGCAUAGCCCGGCUAGUGAGAACAAAAAAGGAAGAGGAAUGUUUUUCCCUUCAUUAGGUUUAGUUUGCUGAAUUGUGUGCACCCAGGCUUCCUUGUUAAUUUACAGAAGCCAAUGUGUUCUGUAAUUGUGCCAAUUUUUCAUAAAAACAAUUUCCACAACUUUUGUCCUCUCAUUUAUAAUGUUAAUAGCUUGAUGCUUAGAAUUUAACGCAAUCACUUCCCGCUUACAGAAGGAAGAAUCAAGUUAUAUAUAUAUAUAUAUAAAAGAUCAAGUUAAGUAAGUUGGUUUGCCUUUAUUUUAUGUUGUUAAACGUUACAUAUAAAUCAUCACCAAAAUCAUUGUCUUUAUUCAACUUCUCUUUCUCUGCACAUGAAGAGACAGAGAGAAAGAGAACUCUCUCUCACACUUAAGAGAGUCAGAGACACAUGACAGGCGUUUAGUGGACGAAGAUUUUGGGUUUCGUGUGGAUCCUGUUUGCUUAUUUAUUCGUUUCCAUUUUUCUGUUCGAAAAAAGAAAAUGAUUUAUAUUAUGGUGCAGCAUCAAACUGUUUAGAAUGCUUACUCAGUUUUGUUUCUUUAGAAUAAUGUAUAUGAGGAUCUUGCAGCAAUAACUUAAAGCAGAAGUUUCUUUCUGGGUUUGAAAAAAUAAAAUAACCCGAUGUGUUCCCUCCCACUGCACCUCUCUUUCUGUUCAGAGUUUUGUUAAUGGAGGCUGGGUUUUUGGAAAAAAUAUUCCCCAAACUUCUACAGAAAUAUUUUCACUCGAAGAGCUAGCUUGAGCAAGGUUCACUGUUUGCUCAGCUAGCGAAGGAAUAUUGGUCUCAUCUGCACCUGCAGAAUCACAUUG